AGCGAACGCUGGCGGCAGGCCUAACACAUGCAAGUCGAACGAACCUUUCGGGGUUAGUGGCGGACGGGUGAGUAACACGUGGGAACGUGCCUUUAGGUUCGGAAUAACUCAGGGAAACUUGUGCUAAUACCGAAUGUGCCCUUCGGGGGAAAGAUUUAUCGCCUUUAGAGCGGCCCGCGUCGGAUUAGCUAGUUGGUUGAGGUAAUGGCUCACCAAGGCGACGAUCAGUAGCUGGUCUGAGAGGAUGAUCAGCCACAUUGGGACUGAGACACGGCCCAAACUCCUACGGGAGGCAGCAGUGGGGAAUCUUGCGAAAUGGGCGAAAGCCUGACGCAGCCAUGCCGCGUGAAUGAUGAAGGUCUUAGGAUUGUAAAAUUCUUUCACCGGGGACGAUAAUGACGGUACCCGGAGAAGAAGCCCCGGCUAACUUCGUG
rnacentral:rRNA from 1 species